rnacentral:rRNA from 1 species
CCUGACUGACCGAUAGUGAACCAGUACCGUGAGGGAAAGGCGAAAAGAACCCCGGCGAGGGGAGUGAAAAAGAACCUGAAACCGUGUACGUACAAGCAGUGGGAGCACCUUCGGGUGUGACUGCGUACCUUUUGUAUAAUGGGUCAGCGACUUAUAUUCUGUAGCAAGGUUAACCGUAUAGGGGAGCCGCAGGGAAACCGAGUCUUAACUGGGCGUUAAGUUGCAGGGUAUAGACCCGAAACCCGGUGAUCUAGCCAUGGGCAGGUUGAAGGUUGGGUAACACUAACUGGAGGACCGAACCGACUAAUGUUGAAAAAUUAGCGGAUGACUUGUGGCUGGGGGUGAAAGGCCAAUCAAACCGGGAGAUAGCUGGUUCUCCCCGAAAG